rnacentral:rRNA from 1 species
AACGAACGCUGGCGGCGUGGCUAAGGCAUGCAAGUCGAACGCCGUAGCAAUACGGAGUGGCAGACGGGUGAGUAACGCGUGGGAACAUACCCCUCGGUUCGGAAUAACUCAGGGAAACUUGAGCUAAUACCGGAUACGUCCGAGGUUUUAAUCGACCUUGGAGAAAGAUUUAUCGCCGGAGGAUUGGCCCGCGUCUGAUUAGCUUGUUGGUGAGGUAAUGGCUCACCAAGGCGACGANCAGUAGCUGGUCUGAGAGGAUGAUCAGCCACAUUGGGACUGAGACACGGCCCAAACUCCUACGGGAGGCAGCAGUGGGGAAUAUUGGACAAUGGGCGAAAGCCUGAUCCAGCCAUGCCGCGUGAGUGAUGAAGGCCUUAGGGUUGUAAAGCUCUUUACCCGGGAAGAUAAUGACGGUACCGGGAGAAUAAGCCCCGGCUAACUUCGUGCCAGCAGCCGCAGUAAG